UACGAAGGGGGCUAGCGUUGUUCGGAAUCACUGGGCGUAAAGGGUGCGUAGGCGGGUUUCUAAGUCAGAGGUGAAAUCCUGGAGCUCAACUCCAGAACUGCCUUUGAUACUGGAAGUCUUGAGUAUGGGAGAGGUGAGUGGAACUGCGAGUGUAGAGGUGAAAUUCGUAGAUAUUCGCAAGAACACCAGUGGCGAAGGCGGCUCACUGGCCCAUUACUGACGCUGAGGCACGAAAGCGUGGGGAGCAAACAGG
rnacentral:rRNA from 1 species